GACAGAGGUGCCAAGCGUUAGGCGGAAUCACUGGGCUUAAAGCGUGUGUAGGCGGAUCGUUAAGUACCUUGUGAAAUCCCCGGGCUCAACCUGGGAACUGCAUUUGUGACUGCAUCGCUGGAGUACGGCAGAGGGGGAUGGAAUUCCGCGUGUAGCAGUGAAAUGCGUAGAUAUGCGGAGGAACACCGAUGGCGAAGGCAAUCCCCUGGGCCUGUACUGACGCUCAUGCACGAAAGCGUGGGGAGCAAACAGG
rnacentral:rRNA from 1 species